CUGACCUCGCAUCAGAUGUCAGUACCCCCUGAACUUAA
rnacentral:rRNA from 1 species